rnacentral:rRNA from 1 species
AUUGAACGCUGGCGGCAUGCCUUACACAUGCAAGUCGAACGGUAACAGGUCUUCGGACGCUGACGAGUGGCGAACGGGUGCGUAAUGCAUCGGAACGUGCCCAGUCGUGGGGGAUAACUGCUCGAAAGAGCAGCUAAUACCGCAUACGACCUGAGGGUGAAAGCGGGGGACCGUAAGGCCUCGCGCGAUUGGAGCGGCCGAUGUCAGAUUAGCUAGUUGGUGGGGUAAAGGCCUACCAAGGCAACGAUCUGUAGUUGGUCUGAGAGGACGACCAGCCACACUGGGACUGAGACACGGCCCAGACUCCUACGGGAGGCAGCAGUGGGGAAUUUUGGACAAUGGGCGCAAGCCUGAUCCAGCAAUGCCGCGUGCAGGAAGAAGGCCUUCGGGUUGUAAACUGCUUUUGUCAGGGAAGAAAUCUUCUGGGCUAAUACCCCGGGAGGAUGACGGUACCUGAAGAAUAAGCACCGGCUAACUACGUG